UUCAGGAAAAGGUGCUGAGUGAGAGCUGAAAAACCAGGUUUAAGGUAUCAAAAGAACUCAAGAAUACUGACCAUUUGUGCUGUCCUGCCAAGAGCGACUCAAGCUUACAGUGGAAUGAGCAAACCAAAAGGGUCUGAGCGAGCGAAGGCUCACACAACACUUGGCACAGUCAUCAGUGGCUUGAUUCCAGCAUAUUCAUCUAUGGCUGGAAAUCACUUGAGAACAGCAGGGACAAAGCGGCGUCAGCAGGGAAGACGGGUGGAGAAAAUCCAUCUCCACCC